rnacentral:rRNA from 1 species
CCUACGGGAGGCAGCAGUGAGGAAUAUUGGUCAAUGGACGAGAGUCUGAACCAGCCAAGUAGCGUGAAGGAUGACUGCCCUAUGGUUUGUAAACUUCUUUUAUAUGGGAAUAAAACGUUCCACGUGUGGGAUUUUGUAUGUACCAUAUGAAUAAGGAUCGGCUAACUCCGUGCCAGCAGCCGCGGUAAUACUGAGGAUCCGAGCGUUAUCCGGAUUUAUUUGGUUUAAAGGGAGCGUAGGUGGAUUUUUAAGUCAGUUGUGAAAGUUUGCGGCUCAACCGUAAAAUUGCAGUUGAAACUGGCAGUCUGGAGUACAGUAGAGGUGGGCGGAAGUCGUGGUGUAGCGGUGAAAUGCUUAGAUAUCACGAAGAACUCCGAUUGCGAAGGCAGUUCACUGGACUGCAACUGACACUGAGGCUCGAAAGUGUGGGUAUCAAACAGGAUUAGAUACCCUUGUAGUC